GAGUCAGAAUCUGUAUAUUACUUGUGGUGGAGAUCCUGGGCCACGUGUCGUUCAGCACCGUCUCCAAUUUGUCCCUCAGCUCAGAAACACUCUCGGUCACGUCCUCGAAGCUGCGCAGAGGAGCAGCGCCGGGCGAGAACUUCAAACAGUGCCGUGGGGACCUUCUUCUCUUCUGUUUGCUUAUUCAGUUAUGAACAAAUACAUAAAUAUAUUUCUGAGUUUGUAUUAUUACUGUAUUUAUAUUGGAAAUGUUAAAUUUGAUAGUUUGAUUUCAUUAUGUUUACACCAAACCCCAGUCAAAAUGUGUCAACUUUUGAAACAUUUUGGACUGAGGUUUGGUGUAAAUUGAGGUCAAAUUUACUUCUAUUUUUCUCCAGAAAUUGAAGGCGUGCGGUGUCAUUUUGGCAAAUAAAUCAAACUGUGAAAUGUAAUAUCAGGUAUUUCGACUGCACCACUCCAUCAUGUACUACAUUUUGUAUUUCAGCACAAACGAGACACUUGUUUUCAUGGGAAAAAUGGGGGGUUUGGUGGGAUGAAUUUACAGGAA